AUUUGAUAAAGAGGUAUAUUAAAUAACAAUUAAUUAAAAAUGAAUUAAUACAAACAACUUCCUUACUAUUCAAACACAAUCCCCUGAAAAAGAUCAUCGUGCUGACAGAGGGGAGGCGAGUGUACAUACGGCUACAUUCACCGAUUUCAUGGUAAAUCGAGCGUUUCUUAGCCAUAGGAUCUGGUGUGCCCUUACGCAAACCUAUUGUACACGAGUGCCUCCUGUGGUGUUACGGUAGAAUGAGAACACAACGCGGAUUGGUCCGCAGGUCGUCCUAUCUUCAAAAUAGCAUUACCAGCGAUCAUAAUGGCUCAACCGGUGUGUCGUUAAUGUGGUAGUAUAUAAGGAAUUUGUGCUAUGCAGCAAACAAGAAAAGAAACGAAUAAACUAGCAAACGUUUCUCUAUCCAUUAAGACGAUAUAUGACAAAAGAGAUUAUAUACGUCUAUAUUUUUCGACAACAAGAAACAAGAAGAUUUGCUCAAGGAGGUGCUCAGUGGAUGCCUGUUUUCAAGUUGGAAAUUUAUUUUAAUUUUGCAUGUUAUACAUCACAGGAAGAUAUUUUACGAACUGUGAAUUAUCCCGCGAAUAUUUUUUCAACAAAGCGACGAACAUUAAUACGAAACAGCAAUAAUCAACGAUGUAAAUUUAUUAUGUAUUAAUGUCUCGAUGUGAAAAUAAAAAUAAUCGAAACGAGGUUAGCGCAAAUAAGCUUCUUGACUCGAGACGGUUAUACUAUCGAAAAGUGCUACACAGAUAAGGGUCUCGAUAGGGUGGUACAGGCGAUGACGGUGAUUUAAUAUUUUUCUUGUUAUGAGUAUAAGCUCACUAGUUUAUUCUGAAAACAGUAACCAAGCACUGCUUCGUGUCCUCGUGCAAAACCACCUGCUCGAAUGAACAACUAUCGCGAGUAUCGUCGUCACAAUCUAGAUCUUACUUAUUUACUCAUUUAUUUACUUGUUAAAUUUUUUUCAAUUUUUCUAUUAUUUUUAAUAUUUAGUAAUUGAUAUUUUGUACGGUGAAAAGUUAAACGAUCUUUUUAACAAUUCUGUUUACAUAUUACUUAUUUUAUACAUCAUUUUUCUCAUAUCAUUAAUCGAAAAUGAUGUUCAUAUAUGGAUUCAAAGCAAUUUAUAUAAAUUUUAUGUUACUGUGAUAAAAUAAAAUUUUUAGGGUACAAUCAUGAAAAUAACAUUUCGUUUUAUACGAAUUCCAGACAUGGUACAUUUGUAUUUAGUCCACAAACAUGACAGAGCAACAGAGAAAAAGAAAAAGCAAGUUCUAUGCAUUUACGUGAUUAUUUCGAGAAGUUAAGUCGCCGAGACGCGUCCGCGUCACUGAUGGAUCUCACUAACGAGCACAACUGAUGAUUGACAAAAUAUUCUCAGUAUGAGACCAAAUUUAAAGUUAAGACGAAAAAUUUUAAGAAAUGGACAAUAGAAAAAAGAAGUCAGCAUUCUUCGCGUUCGGAAGGUGUUGAAGUAGGUAUGCCAAGUUAAAUAUACGCGUAGGAUGCACAGGCAGGACAAAAAGCACUUCCUCUUGUCUGACGAGUAUACUUUGAAGACCGAACGUAGGCUUCAGUAAGCAGACAAAAUAAGAAUUUUUACUUCAUAGCGAGAAAGCAUUCUACUUUUUGAAUUAUUCUUUGUUCAUAUUAAUGUUGGAUCUUUUUUUACUUAUCCAUAUAUUUUCUUAUAAAUAUGCAAAUAUAUAUAGUAAAUAUGUUAUUAUAAAACUUUAUUAUUAAAAAAAUUAAUAUAUGAACGUACUCUUUAAUAGAAAGAAAUAUGAAAAUUUUUACAUUACGACAAUGGGACAGAAACAUUCUCAUGUUUGUGAGAUCAUGUACAAUCUUCUUGAAUGUAACCGUUUCUUGUUGAUACUGGCAAUGAGUUAUGUUGACACAACGCAACCUGUUCUGGCUCCUCGUUGAAUAUUAUGAACAUAUUAUGACAGAUAUGCCAUCCGAAGAUCAAGAAAAUUAGAUAGCACGUGCUAUUUUGAAGUAAUAGUCGUUCUAUGGUUCAUGAAGCGAGCGACAAGCAAUUAUAAAAAGAUCAAUUUUGCGCAGAAUUAGAUAAUGGAUUUGACGAAGUCUAUGUAAGUGUGAUUCGCCGGUUUCUCUAACUGUGACGCUUGUUUAAAUCUCAAUUCCAACGUUUCAUGCACUCGCUGAGGGCCAAGAGUCUCCACUAAUAACUCGGAUCAAUGUGAAUCUCCGUGUCGAUCAAAAUCAAAGAUCUUCUUUGGAAAAGUCAAUACGUCAACAAACAAGGCGUCAGUUGAAUUUCGUCUGAACUUUGCACAAACACCGGAAAAUCCCAAUGUUAACUGAUAUCUCAGGUUAUUAAGGAGAUUAAUGAAAUUUAUGAAGCCAGAGACGCAAAACAAAAAGUCGAGACGGUUUUUUGUGGAAAUAUUCAGCAAUCUUUUGCAACGGAUUUGAGCUGUGGCCAAUAUUAGAGUAAUAAAAAAGCUCAUCGGACUACUGUGGCUUGUUUCAAAGCGACGGUAAUGGGGCUUGAAAGCUGCCGGCUAGGAAAAGGAAGUAGAAGGAGAAAGGGGUGACGGUAAGAGGAAAAAAUCGGAGAAGAGACGAGAGACAUUCGUCUUCGAAGGCGUUCAACCAUUUGAUAGCGGAACCACCCAGCGUUAACAUUGCUUGCUUCUUUCAGUAAAAGAAAUCGACUGCAACAGUCGGAAACCUUUAUUGAAAUGACAAUCGUAAAAAUUUGAAUUUUUAUGGAUUGAAGGAAUGUCACCUAUGCAAAUAAACAUUGCAUGAUACAUUAAAUGAAAUAUUUUUUGAAAAUACAAUGAAAGA
rnacentral:lncRNA from 1 species